rnacentral:lncRNA from 1 species
GGGGGUGAGCUUUGGGUUCUCCCAUGUUCAAGCUACUCCCAGUGAGACAGUCCACGUCCUGAUGCCUGCAAGAUGUAGAACCCUCAGCUACGUCUCCAGCACCAUGACUGCCUGAAAACCUCCAUGUCCCACCAUGAUGAGAAUGGACUAAACCUCUGAAACUGAUUGAACCAUUCCUAUGAGAGAAUGAAUAUGUCCCUGAACACCAAGAAUGAGGGGGAGUGGAGGACUCGAGGAGGAGAAGAUGUGCAAAGGGUAUGUUUGUAGACUCCCAUACCAAGGCCUCAAACUGCACUUCCCUGUUGCUGUUGGUCUGUUGCUAUGACUCUACUCAUCUGCUCAGGUGGAACAGGCCUGGAGCCUCCCCGCAGGGUUGCAGAGUGAUUGGGAACUCAGCUAUGAAAUCACCACUCUGGACACUGCUGACACCUGUAUGUGGAAAGAUCCGAUCGGUCCUGUGUCUCAGAAACUCAACAAGACAAUACCUUAGCGCUUGACACACAGUCGUUGCUCAGAUUCCAUGAGUUGGGCUCAGUGCUUAGCUGUGAAUCUCUGCUUCUGCUUCUGUCAGCUACUGGACUGGAACUGAAAGUUCACUCACUGCUCCCUACACUCUUGAAACCCAGCCUCUCUGGUUCCUGGAGCAGUUUCUCAAGUCUUUCUAGUUUCAUCGCCCUGCAGCAGCAGCCUAUCCACAGGAUGAACAGCACACACAUGUGGGUAUUCUCAUUUCAUGUGUAUGAGAGUGUAUGCCCAUGAACAUGCUCUGAGUGCUUGUCUGGUCCCCUCAGACACCAAGGAAGCACUGACUGCUGGAACUGGAGCUACAGGUGGUUGUGAGCCACCAUGUGGGUGCUGGAAACUGAACCUGGGUCCCCCGCAAGAGCAGCCAGUGCUCUUAACCCCUGAGCCAUCUCUCCAGCCCCAGUGCUGGUUAUUCUUGAUGGUCAACUUGACAG